AACGCUAGCUACAGGCUUAACACAUGCAAGUCGAGGGGCAGCAUGAACUUAGCUUGCUAAGUUUGAUGGCGACCGGCGCACGGGUGAGUAACACGUAUCCAACCUGCCGAUGACUCGGGGAUAGCCUUUCGAAAGAAAGAUUAAUACCCGAUGGCAUAGUUCUUCCGCAUGGUAGAACUAUUAAAGAAUUUCGGUCAUCGAUGGGGAUGCGUUCCAUUAGGUUGUUGGCGGGGUAACGGCCCACCAAGCCUUCGAUGGAUAGGGGUUCUGAGAGGAAGGUCCCCCACAUUGGAACUGAGACACGGUCCAAACUCCUACGGGAGGCAGCAGUGAGGAAUAUUGGUCAAUGGACGAGAGUCUGAACCAGCCAAGUAGCGUGAAGGAUGACUGCCCUAUGGGUUGUAAACUUCUUUUAUACGGGAAUAAAGUGAGGCACGUGUGCCUUUUUGUAUGUACCGUAUGAAUAAGGAUCGGCUAACUCCGUGCCAGCAGCCGCGGUAAUACGGAGGAUCCGAGCGUUAUCCGGAUUUAUUGGGUUUAAAGGGAGCGUGGGCGGACGCUUAAGUCAGUUGUGAAAGUUUGCGGCUCAACCGUAAAAUUGCAGUUGAUACUGGGUGUCUUGAGUACAGUAGAGGCAGGCGGAAUUCGUGGUGUAGCGGUGAAAUGCUUAGAUAUCACGAAGAACUCCGAUU
rnacentral:rRNA from 1 species